rnacentral:lncRNA from 1 species
UUUUUAGAACUUUAAUUCAUAAAAUAUUUUGUGAAAAACAAGACUUUUUUUUUUGUAACUGCUAAGAAGAUCCAUUUGGUUAAUUUCCCCUAAUUAAAUUUCGUCAGAAUAUAUAAUCAUGAAACACAUCCACUUCCAAAAUGAAAGUAACAAAUCAAACUUUAGAUCCAAAAGAAAAUCCAGCGAGAAUUUGCCAAAACCAAAUGACAACUUAAGAUUUACAACACCAUGAAAUUAAACCAGCGUAUAAACUUCGACGGAAGAAAAUUAGCUAACACAAGUAUGUAACGUAAACAAAAUCCUAAAGCUGAUCAAAUUAAAAUCCUAUGCUAAUAUCAGACUUAAAGCUUCUGCUAAGAUACUUCAUGACUGACGUAAUCAUCAUCUCUGUCCGGAAUGUCACGCCAAGUCCCCGCCGUGAGAACCCUCUCGGAAAGGUGAGUUUGGGUCAUCAUCUGAUCCAAAGGUAAGGGUUGUCUCCAGCUAACAGAUAUAAUAUGUAUAUAUAGAUAUAUGUGUAGAUAUGCAUAAGCAGAUUUGUAAUUAUAAAACAACCAUAUAACCAAGCCAAGUAUCCAGUGUAUCAAUUAUAAACACGUAACACCAAUGCACAACUUAUUAGUCACUCACCGAGCCCUAUUUGUUAGUCUACGUGACAACGAAUGCAACCUACAUGAUCCGGAUAUCGCCACUCCAUAGAGUAGAAUAAAAUGUCCCACCAUUGGACAGUGUCCCACCAUUGGACACAAUACCCCACCGUUGGGUAUUAAGAUUCGGUACUCCACCAUUGAGUAUUAUUCCGAAAAGCGUUAGGUUCGUUACCCCACCGUUGGGUAAUAUUUCGAACCACGCCAAUGAAUGAAUGAAUGAAUGAAUGAAUACACCCUCUCCGUUAGUCACACCAGGAAUCUCCAUAAUUGAAACCUCUCUAAAUCCACUCAAUUAAGAGACUAAUUUAACACCUUUGGUAACCACCGGUCCCAAUCGUAAAUACUACCUUAAGCUAUUUACUUAAGAUAUCCCCUUACGCACAAGUAAAUCAAUAAAUAGCAGUCACAUAAUCACUCGCAAUAAAGAUGACCGCCACACCAUAACAGCACAAAAGAAUUUAUAUAUUGCAAGUAAGAAAAGUGUGUGGAGUCCCUUACCUUCGCAGCAGCAGGUCUUAAUUCUUAACACAGCGGUCUUCACUCCACUACCUCUCAAUUAACCUUCAUAAUUAAAUAUUAACUCACUUAGUUUCAGAUCUCAUUAACUCUAAAUUUUGACUCAAAACUUAGGCUUUACUAGGUUAUAGUCUGCUACUUAAUAUUCCAAAUACCCAACCUUCUUAAAAUGUCCCUAAACAAUAUAAGAAUACUACUUCCAAAACAGGACCAUAUACUCCAAUUUUUAACAGUACAAGUGCACUAGUUAAUUUUACAGGUUUGUAAAUAAAAUUAAGUGCAGGUAGUUUAGCCAAUAAAUCAAUUGUUCCCUUAUUUUAAAACACAAACCGAUCAAUUUGAUGAGCUGAGAUACAACACUGAUUCAAUGUUAACACAACCACUAACAUGAUUUAUACCAACACCAACUAGGACAAAGCUCAACAUUAAAGUCAACCUGCACUAAAACUACUAGUUUGUAAAAAUAACUCAAUUAAUCCACACUUAACUAUAUCUAAACCACAAGAUAACAAUUAAUACAAGGCUUAUUCCCUUGAUGCUUAGUUAAAAACUAACAAUUAUUCCUGGCCAUGGAUUGGGUUCAGACGAGAGAAAAUCAUCUCAGCACCUUUAUAUUUCCUAAAUUAAAGGUUACCAACAAUUAGGAGGUAUGUUUGACAUCAACCUACAGUGAUCUAAUUAUAUAACUCCAUUGGUUUAAUAGCACUAAAUCAAAAGGGACAUUAAGAGUAUAAGUUGUGUUUUUACCUGUGGUGAGAAACUUAGAUGAUGACUCCUACAAUUUGAUCUUUCCUUGAUUCACCCCUUUCCUUCUAAACCCUCUGAGUUUUCUCUCUGAAUAUCUGUUUUUGUUUUCUAUGCGUGUGAAGCCAGAAUGAGGAACCAGUUACUAAUAAUCCCUAUAAUAACUCCUUCCUAAGUAAUAGGGACAUAGUGGGGAAAUAUGAUUUUACUUCUCGAGCUAAGUCAGCCCCUUUGAGUCCCACUACCCCUAAUUUUUAGCAACCACAAGUUUUCAU